UUUUAUUUGUUUUUAUUGCAUCAUUCAAAAUUUCUACACAUGAUAGUUACCAUUCAGUUGUUCACUGUACGUGCAUAUGCCUCACCUAGGACGUGUAGUAUGUGUGAACCAUCUUGACAUGCGAGAUUAUCAUGCACGUGGUUUUAUGGACCACCUGUUUGUCGAGGCCAUUGGUUAUAUAUAUAUUGUUAAUCGAGUAUUUCACCACUGAAAAGCUCCCAUCAUCCAGAAUAAUAAUGCUUCUAAAACAUGACUCACAAGCAAUGUAAUAAUCCAUGGACACAGUGGCCGGGAGCAUACUGCGCGCAGACCACCCGCGGGUGCUGCAUGCCCAGGAGCCCCGUGGUGCCGGCGACCGACUUCUACGUAUCGGGCUUUACCGUCUUCAACGCGACGACCGACGCCCCGGAGACCAGCUGCAGCGGCACUCCUUUCAACUCCGGCGAGGUAACUAAUUUCCAAUCCAGCGCUUUGCGGAUUCUUACCACUGUGAUGCAUGCAAUGUUUUGCGUUUACCGCAGAUUCUGGAAAUCAGCGGUCUGAGGCAGUUCUGGAGCAACAUCAAGUGCCCCAGCAACAACGGCCAGAGCAGCUGGAAGAGCGCCUGGAAGACGUCCGGCGUCUGCUCCGGCCUCGACGACAAGGCCUACUUCCAAGCCGCCAUUGCCCUCCGUAGCAAGAUCAACCCCCUCUCUCGCCUCGUUUCCAAAGGUGACGCAUGCAUGCAUCCAUGGCUCAUGACUGCCGUUUUCUUGGAAAGAAAAUCAUCACCAUUGAUACGUACUGGUAUUGUCAUUGCAGGGAUCAAGCCGGACUUUGGCCUGUACAGCUUGGAGAAGAUCAAGAAGGUUAUCCAGGCGGGCACCGGCGUGACGCCGGUGAUCCAGUGCAGCAAAGGGCCGUUCGAUAAGUUCCAGCUGUACCAGAUCUUCAUCUGCGUGGCCGGGGACGCNNNNNNNNNNGGAUAUUUCCCCGCCGCCACCGUCUGCCCUCCUAGAUCUACUUCCACGUCAUCGACAACCAUCGCUACUGCAGCACCCUCAACGUCUAAGCAGAUGCUUACACGACGCCACACUAGAGGCGGUACUCUUUCGUAUCUGCUCAAGUUAUUUAUCUCAGUAAGAAAAUAGACCGCCACUGCUUUAAUGUGAUUUCUUGUCCAUCACUUAGAAUCUUACUUGUUAGUUGAAAGCAAACAUUGGUUGCGAAGUUGCUUUACAUCUUCAGAUCCGCCAUGGCAUGCUCAACACUAUACUGGCAAUGCUUAUGGUUUUUCCCUUUUAUAUUCCACAUUAGCUUAAAUGACAGUCGAUUGAAUUUCAAUUCGGGGUUAGUCCAUUUUUGAGAGUUCGCCGUAUGGAAGGAAGGGGCUCACCAGAGGGCUGCCUCAUUAUCUAUCUUAGGGUUUUGGGUGGGGACAGUGGUUGGGAGGGGGCGGUCGUCGGGCUGUGGUGGGGUCUCACCGAAGGCAAAACUUGACGCAGGUGGGGGGUGGGGGUGGCUAGAGGGAUGGCUAGGGGCGGCGGAAGACCAGCGGUGGUGGGUGGUUCAAGGGAGGGCGGGGCCGGUGGUUCGGUUGGUGGCCCGUGCGAUGGUCUGUAGGGGAAGAAUAAGAGGUGAGGAAGAAGAAGGGUUAGGAGACGUAGGAUCUUCAUCCAACCGCCUGAAAUUGUCGACUGGCCCAAAUGACGAAAGUUAGGCGACUUGCAUAUAGACAUUCCCUUUAUAUUCAGUACCAUCUUCCUAGGUGCUACGGGACGUGCUAGCACUGCUUCUCAACUCAUCAAGCUAAAAAACAUGCCACUCAUAAUUCCAGACUUAGUUGCUCAAAUACGAAUAUGAUAUGGCGCCGAUGUUACUAAAACAGAGAACAUUUAAUUGGUCAGCUAACGUUCCUACUUUACUUUUGAAAAGCACGUGCGCCACAUAUAGAGAGCCAACAGAGUGUUGCAUUGUUUAUGCUCUUUGGUUCAUCAUGUGUGGGCAAUGAACAUUUUAUUAUCCAAAAUCUGCUUACUCUUCUUUAGCAUGUUCCUCUUUUGUUCUUCUUUAAUAAGUAUUCUCUCUCAUUUCUAAAUAUAAGUCGUUGUAGAGAUUCCUCCAUGAACUACAUGUUGGGGAACAUAGUAAUUUCAUUUUUUUUUCUUACGCACACGCAGGGUCAUGGUGAUGCAUAUCAACGAGAGGGGAGAGUGUUGUCUACGUAUGUAGCGACCAGACCUCAAACAGUCUGAUCUCUGUGCUUCAGUGUCAUCCCUGGAUCAGUAAUGCUGACACGCACAGUACUUGAAGGAUUUAUAACAGAGUAGCAAUCACACACUUAGUACAUCGAAUGUCUCAAAAGAGAACUUAUUACAAUAAUAUGGCUUAAGGCCAUCUAAUAACGAUAAUAGCGGAAGACUUGAAAUAUAAGUGAGUCCAUCAACUCCAACGACAUCACUGAGUAUAGAACCACGACCUAUAAGGCACCUUAAUCGUCGUCUGAAAAGUCUGCAACAUGAACGUUGCAGCCCGAAACGGGUCAGCACAUGAAAUAUGCUGGCAAAGUAAUACAUAGAGAGUAAUGAAAGAAUAAGACUAUACUACAUGCAUAUUUGGCUGGUGGAAAGCUCUAUGGUUACAGUUUUGCGUAAAGCCGAAUUUUCCUACUGCAAAGGAAUAACUUUUAUUUAACUAUCAUGGUAGUUGUCAAACAUUGAGAGUGUAGACACCCUCUCAAUCCCAAUUAAGCAUCAUCAUUAAAACCCAACAAUAUUAAUUAGAGUAACAUGAUGAGAUUCACAUGAUAAUCCAAGUACUAGAUACUCAAGAUGUCCAUAACCGGGGACACGACUAAUCAUGAUUAGUUUAUACACUCUGCAGAGGUUUGCGCACAUUUCCCCACAAGANNNNNNNNNNNNNNAAAUCAUCACCAUUGAUACGUACUGGUAUUGUCAUUGCAGGGAUCAAGCCGGACUUUGGCCUGUACAGCUUGGAGAAGAUCAAGAAGGUUAUCCAGGCGGGCACCGGCGUGACGCCGGUGAUCCAGUGCAGCAAAGGGCCGUUCGAUAAGUUCCAGCUGUACCAGAUCUUCAUCUGCGUGGCCGGGGACGCCAAAACGCUCAUCGAGUGCCCGAAACCGCAGAAGUUCACGUGCUCCGACGAGAUCCUCUUCCACCCCUUCAAGAAGUGGAUGCUAAAGCAGGCCGCGUCCUCGGUGUCCUACGCCGAAGCAUUCGAGGUGGCGGGCGCCGCCAUGGGAUACUGAGCUGCAGCUGCAGACCAGUAGCCGGUCGGGCCCCUGACCGGCCUCGUCUUGUGAUUUGCGUUCCAGCGAAUAAUUAAUAGUAGUAGUAUAUGCAUGAAAUAAUGUUCUUGCCUUUCCGGACGUUCAUCUGGCGCGUGGUGUGAUAAUAAUGUAAUCCGAGGGUACCGCAAUAUUUGAUUACCAAGUCGAUCUGUAACGCUUUCUUGAAUAAUAAUAAUAAUAAUAAUAAUAAUAAUAAUAAUAAUAAUACAAUAGUACAUUGAUAUGUGUCUUUCUUUUUCUUUCGAGAUACAUCCUACCAUCCGGGAUAAUUACCCCACAUGUCUCAUAUACUAUCAUGUAGUAGUAUAUAUAUAUACUACUUUGUCAUCCACGGCUUCAGACUAGGAUCCUUGCAUCACGUCCUCUCGCUUGAUCCGCGUCAUCGUUUACCUCUCGAGGCCGCUCCUAUGACCAUCUCGUCCACCGCGCCAGGAUAUUUCCCCGCCGCCACCGUCUGCCCUCCUAGAUCUACUUCCACGUCAUCGACAACCAUCGCUACUGCAGCACCCUCAACGUCUAAGCAGAUGCUUACACGACGCCACACUAGAGGCGGUACUCUUUCGUAUCUGCUCAAGUUAUUUAUCUCAGUAAGAAAAUAGACCGCCACUGCUUUAAUGUGAUUUCUUGUCCAUCACUUAGAAUCUUACUUGUUAGUUGAAAGCAAACAUUGGUUGCGAAGUUGCUUUACAUCUUCAGAUCCGCCAUGGCAUGCUCAACACUAUACUGGCAAUGCUUAUGGUUUUUCCCUUUUAUAUUCCACAUUAGCUUAAAUGACAGUCGAUUGAAUUUCAAUUCGGGGUUAGUCCAUUUUUGAGAGUUCGCCGUAUGGAAGGAAGGGGCUCACCAGAGGGCUGCCUCAUUAUCUAUCUUAGGGUUUUGGGUGGGGACAGUGGUUGGGAGGGGGCGGUCGUCGGGCUGUGGUGGGGUCUCACCGAAGGCAAAACUUGACGCAGGUGGGGGGUGGGGGUGGCUAGAGGGAUGGCUAGGGGCGGCGGAAGACCAGCGGUGGUGGGUGGUUCAAGGGAGGGCGGGGCCGGUGGUUCGGUUGGUGGCCCGUGCGAUGGUCUGUAGGGGAAGAAUAAGAGGUGAGGAAGAAGAAGGGUUAGGAGACGUAGGAUCUUCAUCCAACCGCCUGAAAUUGUCGACUGGCCCAAAUGACGAAAGUUAGGCGACUUGCAUAUAGACAUUCCCUUUAUAUUCAGUACCAUCUUCCUAGGUGCUACGGGACGUGCUAGCACUGCUUCUCAACUCAUCAAGCUAAAAAACAUGCCACUCAUAAUUCCAGACUUAGUUGCUCAAAUACGAAUAUGAUAUGGCGCCGAUGUUACUAAAACAGAGAACAUUUAAUUGGUCAGCUAACGUUCCUACUUUACUUUUGAAAAGCACGUGCGCCACAUAUAGAGAGCCAACAGAGUGUUGCAUUGUUUAUGCUCUUUGGUUCAUCAUGUGUGGGCAAUGAACAUUUUAUUAUCCAAAAUCUGCUUACUCUUCUUUAGCAUGUUCCUCUUUUGUUCUUCUUUAAUAAGUAUUCUCUCUCAUUUCUAAAUAUAAGUCGUUGUAGAGAUUCCUCCAUGAACUACAUGUUGGGGAACAUAGUAAUUUCAUUUUUUUUUCUUACGCACACGCAGGGUCAUGGUGAUGCAUAUCAACGAGAGGGGAGAGUGUUGUCUACGUAUGUAGCGACCAGACCUCAAACAGUCUGAUCUCUGUGCUUCAGUGUCAUCCCUGGAUCAGUAAUGCUGACACGCACAGUACUUGAAGGAUUUAUAACAGAGUAGCAAUCACACACUUAGUACAUCGAAUGUCUCAAAAGAGAACUUAUUACAAUAAUAUGGCUUAAGGCCAUCUAAUAACGAUAAUAGCGGAAGACUUGAAAUAUAAGUGAGUCCAUCAACUCCAACGACAUCACUGAGUAUAGAACCACGACCUAUAAGGCACCUUAAUCGUCGUCUGAAAAGUCUGCAACAUGAACGUUGCAGCCCGAAACGGGUCAGCACAUGAAAUAUGCUGGCAAAGUAAUACAUAGAGAGUAAUGAAAGAAUAAGACUAUACUACAUGCAUAUUUGGCUGGUGGAAAGCUCUAUGGUUACAGUUUUGCGUAAAGCCGAAUUUUCCUACUGCAAAGGAAUAACUUUUAUUUAACUAUCAUGGUAGUUGUCAAACAUUGAGAGUGUAGACACCCUCUCAAUCCCAAUUAAGCAUCAUCAUUAAAACCCAACAAUAUUAAUUAGAGUAACAUGAUGAGAUUCACAUGAUAAUCCAAGUACUAGAUACUCAAGAUGUCCAUAACCGGGGACACGACUAAUCAUGAUUAGUUUAUACACUCUGCAGAGGUUUGCGCACAUUUCCCCACAAGACUCGAUCUCCUCCGUUGGGAUUCUCGCACUACAUGAUGUUUGAGAAACGGAUGACCGAGAUAUAGUCUUUCAGAAGUGCUAGCACCUUUCGAACGGGUAGACCGUACCAACCUACAUCCCCUACAUCUGCUAGUCUACCACUGUAAGAGUUCGCACGACUUAGUCAACUAUGCUAGAGCCCAUAGUAGCUUGUGGCUGCACACGGAAGUUUCAAGCGAGAGGACGUGUAGUAUGUGUGAACCAUCUUGACAUGCGAGAUUAUCAUGCACGUGGUUUUAUGGACCACCUGUUUGUCGAGGCCAUUGGUUAUAUAUAUAUUGUUAAUCGAGUAUUUCACCAUUGAAAAGCUCCCAUCAUCCAGAAUAAUAAUGCUUCUAAAACAUGACUCACAAGCAAUGUAAUAAUCCAUGGACACAGU
rnacentral:lncRNA from 1 species